CCUGGUUGAUCCUGCCAGUAGUCAUAUGCUUGUCUCAAAGAUUAAGCCAUGCAUGUGUAAGUAUAAGUAUUGUACAGCGAAACUGCGAAUGGCUCAUUAAACCAGUUAUAAUUUAUUUGAUAUUUGAAAGUUACAUGGAUAACCGUGGCAAACCACAGCUAAUACAUGCUUCAAUACCCGACUUCUUGGAAGGGUUGUAUUUAUUAGAUAUUAAGCCAUCCCGUAAGGGUGUGAUGAAUCAUAAUAACUGAUCGAAUCGAGGCUUGCCUCGAUAAAUCAUUCAAGUUUCUGCCCUAUCAGCUUGAUGGUAGUGUAUUGGACUACCAUGGCAAUCACGGGUAACGGAGAAUUAGGGUUCGAUUCCGGAGAGGGAGCCUGAGAAAUGGCUACCACAUCCACGGAUGGCAGCAGGCGCGAAAAUUGCCCAAUCCCGAUUCGGGGAGGCAGUGACAAGAAAUAACAACCUUUGAACUUAGUUUCAGGAUUGCAAUGAGAACAAUUUAAAAACCUUAUCGAGUAACCACUGGAGGGCAAGUUCUGGUGCCAGCAGCCGCGGUAAUUCCAGCUCCAGUAGCGUAUAUUAAAGUUGCUGCAGUUAAAAAGCUCGUAGUUGAAUUUCUGUCUGUAAGGAUCGAAACACCACUGUUGAGGUCUCUUCGGGCAUCUGUUUGCAAGCAUACGUUCGGCCUUCACUGGUUGGCUAUGUAAGCAAACGUUUUACCUUGAGAAAAUUAGAGUGUUCCACGCAGGCUUCAGCCGGAAUACAUUAGCAUGGAAUAAUGGAAUAGGACUGGGAACUAUUCAUGGUUUGAGGGCCCAGUAAUGAUUAAUAGGAACAGUCGGGGGCAUUAGUACUUUACAGUCAGAGGUGAAAUUCUUGGAUUUGUAAAGACUACUAAUGCGAAAGCAUUUGCCAGCAUGUUUCAUAUCA
rnacentral:rRNA from 1 species